ACGGGUGAGUAAUGCCUAGGAAUCUGCCUGGUAGUGGGGGAUAACGUUCGGAAACGGACGCUAAUACCGCAUACGUCCUACGGGAGAAAGCAGGGGACCUUCGGGCCUUGCGCUAUCAGAUGAGCCUAGGUCGGAUUAGCUAGUUGGUGAGGUAAUGGCUCACCAAGGCGACGAUCCGUAACUGGUCUGAGAGGAUGAUCAGUCACACUGGAACUGAGACACGGUCCAGACUCCUACGGGAGGCAGCAGUGGGGAAUAUUGGACAAUGGGCGAAAGCCUGAUCCAGCCAUGCCGCGUGUGUGAAGAAGGUCUUCGGAUUGUAAAGCACUUUAAGUUGGGAGGAAGGGCAGUUACCUAAUACGUGAUUGUUUUGACGUUACCGACAGAAUAAGCACCGGCUAACUCUGUGCCAGCAGCCGCGGUAAUACAGAGGGUGCAAGCGUUAAUCGGAAUUACUGGGCGUAAAGCGCGCGUAGGUGGUUUGUUAAGUUGGAUGUGAAAUCCCCGGGCUCAACCUGGGAACUGCAUUUAAAACUGACUGACUAGAGUAUGGUAGAGGGUGGUGGAAUUUCCUGU
rnacentral:rRNA from 1 species